AGCGAACGCUGGCGGCAUGCCUAACACAUGCAAGUCGAACGAGACCUUCGGGUCUAGUGGCGCACGGGUGCGUAACGCGUGGGAAUCUGCCCUUUGCUUCGGAAUAACACAGAGAAAUUUGUGCUAAUACCGGAUAAUGUCGCAAGACCAAAGAUUUAUCGGCAAAGGAUGAGCCCGCGUAGGAUUAGGUAGUUGGUGGGGUAAUGGCCUACCAAGCCGACGAUCCUUAGCUGGUCUGAGAGGAUGAUCAGCCACACUGGGACUGAGACACGGCCCAGACUCCUACGGGAGGCAGCAGUGGGGAAUAUUGGACAAUGGGCGAAAGCCUGAUCCAGCAAUGCCGCGUGAGUGAUG
rnacentral:rRNA from 1 species